GUUCAGCCUUGGAGGGGAGCUCUGAGGCUGUGCCUCGGUCUGGCUCCUGGGGAUGUGCAGGCUGAUGUCGCAGUAACAUGUCCAGAGCCUGGCUUGGUUUCGCUGUGUGCUAGCACCAUAUUAUCCAGCGUGGGCUUGAAUAUGGCCCCUUGCACUGGGGAGGGAGGGAGAAGCCCCAUGGCAGCUCUCCCAGUUAAGCUGAACAAAGGUUAUUAAAAGUUUGGCCAAUACUUUCCCUGCCUGAAGCAUCCGAGUUAUUCUGAUGGCUCAGGGAGGUCCCGAGUACCUGGUUUUAGGAACCUGUGAGCUCUUUAGUCACAAAAGCCAUUUGCUUGUCUUUAUAUGUUUUUAUUUCUAUUUAUCUGCCCAGCAAAGCCCUGCUGUUGUUCACACAAUCUUUUUUUGGUUCAGAUGAAUAACUUAAUAGACUUUCAUAGACAAGACACUGUAAGCAGUUGAGUCAAUUGGGAAACCCAGGUUUCAACCUGCACAGUUAAAAGGAAAGCAAGAAAACACGCCACAGAAAUGCAUCAAAACUCACCGCAGAAAUCCAUCAAAGCACACAUUGUUUGGGAGCAGGAAUUCAGAGCCGCUCCACCCAGUGUGAAAUUGUAUCCUCCCUGCCAAACUGAAGACACUAAUUUUCCUUUUCAACUUUGCCCAACAAUGUUAACUGUUGAGUUUCGAGGGACCACUUCAUCUACGUGAUAUCACUUAAAUUUACUGUUGCCAUUCACAAUGCGGCACUUGGAGAUACAAAGUGAUUUGGCCAGGGGCCCACUGCUGGUAGCUGCAGGGGAGGGAUUCGAAUGCGGGUCUGUCUGCCUCAGAGUUUCUUGUUUCAUUCUCAGUCCAUACAACGCCCCACACUCACUCCCACCUGAGUUUUAGAAACAAAGUCUUGAUUCUUGCCUCUGGAGAUAAGUUCAAGAUAUUAAUAAAUGCAAGAUAUUAUCUAAUAUUGUGAAGUGGAAAAAGGCAGGAUUGUGUGUGUGAUCUCAUUUUUUUUUGUAAAAAGAAAGUCUCCAUAAAGGAAAUACACAUAUAUUAAUAGAAAGAUCACCAGGUGGGGGAGGUGGCAGAUUCUAGAUGAUAUUUUAUUAUUUUUUUCUACCUUUCACCUUCACAUAUGUAGUAUGCCGUCACUACCCCAACCUUACAUCAUUGGAGUCAUUCAUUAAACCCCAAUCUGUGUGAGUCACUGCGGAAGUGAGGCUAACAGAAGCCCACACUGAAGGCCGCGUUCCUUCGUGGCGCCGUCCCAUGCCAAAGCUGCUGUUCCCACGUGGCUACGGAGCUCUGGAGAUGAAGUGAGUGACACCAAGGAGCUGAAUGUUGAAUUCCAUGUAAUUUUAAUUAACAUUUAAAUAGCCGCGUGCGGGUAGUAACUACCGUAUUGGCCAGUACAAUUAGUAACAGGGAUGUUUUAAAACACACAUUUAAAUGAAUCACAGGUGAAGUCGGCUGUGCCCGUCUGACUUGGCAGACAGGGGCCGACAACUGGGCAACUGCGCAGACCUUCUCUGGCAUCACACACAGCGCAGGACGGCGCGGGACCCGAGCAGCUGGCUUACCUGAAUUGUGGCAGCAGCAGUAACAACCCCGAACUAGCUUCAGGGUGUGGAUUUAAUUACAGAAGCCGGAGGAGGGCAGGCACUGGCUGUCUUCAAUCUUUCUCAGUGACCUCCACCUGUCUGCUUCCAACUGAGUAAAAGUCUGACUUGAUGGCUUCAUGAUGAUCUAAUUGAUGAGGAAGUACUUUUGUUUAUACUACCUUCAUCCAAGACACAAUUUCCUGUUAAAUAUUUCAAUAUGAAGACUGCCUGUUUGUUUAAUGAUUUUUUAAAAACAAAUUUACCGCCAGAAUUAGUGCAUGAAGGUCCCGAGGCCGUGGCUGCAUCCUAAAUGCCCCAGCAAUGAGCAGAGGGGAGCCCAGCCCCACCCUCUUAAUGUAGCUCUGGUCCCUAACGCGAUGCUUCUAAUCUUAUGAGCCUUGACUAGUUUUUAAAUCCAGGAGCACCAGAGCUCCAAUCACAAAGUCCUGUAUUCUGUCUAGGAUCUUGGUUAAAGCAAUGAACGUGUCCCUUGCUUUGCUUUUGCCCCAGAGACCUCUAAUUGCCAACAUUUCACCUUAAAAAUCUCUUGCAAACCUUAAUUCUCAAAACCCUUCUGUAACAACAUAGACAGGAAGACCACUUCUAGCGCUUUUCCAUUUAUUUUUAUAUUCAUAAUUUUAUUCGUUUGUUGGGAAAUUUAAGGCAUAUAGAAGUUAAAACCACAGCCAAGCCUCAGGAGAUGCACAUGUUCAAAGAUUUCAGAGUGCAGAGAGUCAUUUCAUUUUUUACGAAGCACGUGCUCUGCUUCCGGACGGCGCUAAGUCGGCUGUGUGCCCGGGCGCCGGCAGUUGCGGUUGUCACAUGGGCCUGAGGGCAGUGGACAGCGGAGGGCAAGUCAAGGAACCACACUGACAGUAAUCACCCUGGCUUCAGUGUUUCCAUGAAGUGCUCUUAGAUGCAAUGAUUGUGAAGUGGGAAAAUCAUGAGUGGCCACCUGGGCGAGCCUCACUGGCCGACAUCCCUGCAUCUGAGCAUCUCUGCGGUUGCUACUGUCCGGUAAUUUCGGUCUGUUCCGGGCACCUGGAUCAAAGUCAGAGGCCCUCCCUCAGGGCUCCUCUUCAACUGGCCUCCGCACUAGGGUCCUAUCUUGGGCAGGAUCCUGGAGGCUCACCCGCUUCUUCCCAGGAUGGAAAAGUCGUCUGGGCUGCUUGUGUCUGAUGAGGAACUUGUUUGACAGGUGAGAGGCACAGAGCGGAUGAGUGGAUUCACGUGGAACCAAGAGUUCCCAAACUGCCUGAGCCUGAGACUCACCAGUUCCCAAACCGCCUGCGCCUGAGACUCACCGGUUCCCAAACCGCCUGCACUUGAGACUCAGGGGUUCCCAAACCGCCUGGGCCCGAGACUCACCGGUUCCCAAACCGCCUGCGCCUGAGACUCACCGGUUCGCAAACCGCCUGCAUUUGAGACUCACCGGUUCCCAAACCGCCUGGGCCUGAGACUCACCGGCUCCCAAACCACCUGCACCUGAAACUCACCAGUUGCCAAACCACCUGCGCCCGGAACUUACUGGCUCCCAGACCGCUGCGCAUGAGACUCGCUGGGGGCGUUACUCACAACGCAGGCUCCUGGGGCCCUCCAGAGACUCCGGUGUCAGCGAGCUCAUGGCGCCCACCUCAAGUAACACUGGCCUCGGGCACUGAUUCUCAACCCUGGCUAACCACUAAAAAUUUACUCAAGGAGCUUUUAAAAAGUAUCAGUGCCUAGGACACAACACAGGUUAAUUGAAUAAGAACUUCGGGAGGAGACUCUAGGUACUUGCAUUUUCCUAAAAAUCUUCCUAAAUGACUCAAUUUUUCAGCCAAAGUUCAGCAAUGCUGGUCUAAGAUGAAAAAUAAAAUGACUGGGUUAGAACCUCAGGCUGUGUGGAACCCACAGUGGGUCCAGACUUUGGUUUCAGUGCCCCCUACGGUAUAACAGUCAUUAAGGACCCCAAAUUAUUUAUGUAAAUUAUAUGUCAAUAUUUACCAUAUUAGGAAUUAAAACAGAAAAUGUUUUAAAUAUUCUAAUUCAUUUUAAAAUAACAAUAAUAAAUCCAUUAUGUGUUAACAUAUUUUUAUUAAAACCAACUAUAUUUUUCAAAAGAGAAAAGAAAUCACUGAGAAGAGUGGCAUUAAUCUACAUGUGUGUCAGUCUCUGUCUGGCUUUAAUGGAAGACAGCUGGACUCACCCAGCUGCCUCUGCCUUCCACCUGUUACGGUGUGUUUUGGGGAAUAUAUGAGGAAAAUCCAGACGUGUGUGUGUGUGUGUACAUACAUAUAUGUAGCACCAACCAGAGAAAGCUGAAUACACUCCCUGGCCAGUUCCAUAGGAUGUUCCGAUUCCAGCUACUCGCCUCCAGUGUCCCCAGACAGCAGCCUCCGGCAGGGCUCACCUGGGACCUUCCGUUUUCUCAUCAUAAAUCCCCAGACCCCUGCCUUUGAGUCUCUGCUGGACACACACCCUGGAGCCCUGCCUUUGAGCCUCUGCUGGACACACACCCCGGACCCCUGCCGUUGAGCCUGUGCUGAACACUCGCAGUGGUGACCGACGCCCCCACCACAGCAAGCCCCGAAUACACAGCCUCUGUGUGUUCCCACUGAGUUGGUCUUUGUUUAUUUUCACACUUAAAUUACACACUAUAAAAAAACCACAGUUGUUAAUAUUGCCACCCAUCUCACCAAAAAAGCCUCUAUAUAUUGUAAAACUGUCAAGCUCAAGGUGAUGAAUAAAA
rnacentral:lncRNA from 10 species